UACGUAGGGGGCUAGCGUUGUCCGGAAUCAUUGGGCGUAAAGAGCGUGUAGGCGGUCCGGUAAGUCCGUUGUGAAAGUCAGGGGCUCAACCCUUGAAUGCCGGCGGAUACUGUCGGGCUAGAGUCCGGAAGAGGCGAGUGGAAUUCCCGGUGUAGCGGUGAAAUGCGCAGAUAUCAGGAGGAACACCGGUGGCGAAGGCGGAUCUCUGGGCCUUACCUGACGCUGAGGCGCGAAAGCUAGGGGGGCGAACAGG
rnacentral:rRNA from 1 species